GUUGUGAUGAUAAGUUCCCAUCCGAUGACUGUUUGGAGAAGGACCGAAAAGCUACCAUGUCUCUGCAUCCUCGGCACCAUGGUCUGAGUUCAACAGAGAUUCUGUGCCUCAUCCUGAACGUGUUCUUGCUCUUGCACCAAGGAAAAUUGUCAGCGAUCUCUGUGAUCCAGGAGCCCAGUGUCAUUGUGUCUGAAAUAGAAAAGAACAUCACGCUGAACUGCCUGUUCACACACACACCUGAGCAGAAGGUGACAGGCCCAAUCUUGUACUGGUACUAUGGAUCCGAUGAACUUCUGUACCCUCACCCUAUACCGCAGUACAAGAAUCGGGUGAUAGUUCUAAAUCCAGACAAAGACUCCAGCAACAGGUCCAUACUUCUACUUAAUGUGCAGUGGGAAGACAACAGGAAGUUCCACUGCAUGCUGUCAUAUGAAAAAUCAGGGCAUGGUGCUAGGACCAGAGGGAAAGGAGUCAAACUUCUACUCCACGGGCCUAUGAUGUUCAAUGUUUCCUCUGAGUCAGAGAAUGAUCUGCUCUGCAACAUCACAGUAUCCUCUAACAGUGGUUUUCAUCUGACUGUGCUCUGCAAUGGGGUGGAGGUGGCCAAAAGUCAGAGCGAAAUCCGUGACAAAUUUACAGUGCUGUCAGCUCUUGUUCAUGAGCACAUGGAGUGCGAAUGCUGCCUGAACCUGGACUCCACCGUGGUCUUGUCUCGGUCUUACAUCCGGAAGUCUAAAGAGGACCAGAGGGCAGAUCUCCCAGAACCAGUGUUCCUCUAUGCUGCCAUCCUCUCAAUCCCCUUCAGCAUCACUCUCAUUAUGGUCAUAGUUUUCCCCAUUUUCGGGAAUAGAAAAAGCAAACAAAGCAAAAGAAAACCUUAAAAGUUUAAAAUGUAUCCCUCUGCAGGUCGAUUGACGUAGCUGUGGGUUUAUAGUGUCCUGGAUGGUUACGUGAUGUAACUGUGAAACAAUGUAUAGAGGGCUGUCAUUUAGCAGGAUCAUCUGUGCAUUUAACAAAAAGUUAAGGCUGAACGAAUACUUUCUCUCCCUGUCUCAUCAUUUCUUUCAGUGCAGGAAUAUAGCUG
rnacentral:lncRNA from 1 species